AAAAAAUGUGCCACGUUCGUGCGUAAGGUUCAUGUGUUGUAUUUUGGAUUUGCCUUGCCGGUUUUUCUUUGAAGCAUUGUCAACAUUCGAUGGCAAAAAUCCAGAGCUGUUCGGCCGCCUUUGUGCACGCACACUCUGCAUGCCCGGUAGAACCGGGCCUGGUCUGUAUUCUGCUGACUCACACUCACCUUGUCAUAAAGCAACUCAUCCAUAUCCUUACUGCAUGUGUGUCUGUUCUCCUGUUUCUCUAGUCAUGUCAUUUAUCACUCAUUGACCAUCAAUAUCCAUUUUGAUCAUCUUACACAUUCUCUUUUUCCUUUCUUUUCUUUUUAUUUUUAAUCAUAUUUUGUGUAUUUUUCAUAUGGUUUUCUUUGUACAUCCUUCCAUUGUGCUUCAUCUUAACUCUAGACUUUCUUAUUUUUAACUUUUUAAUUCCUGUUUCAAUAUUAGUUAUUUUAACCCUUUACAUGUGAGAAAUGAAAAAAUGAUGGUAU
rnacentral:lncRNA from 1 species